rnacentral:rRNA from 1 species
GAUGAACGCUGGCGGCGUGCCUAAUACAUGCAAGUCGAGCGAAUGGAUUAAGAGCUUGCUCUUAUGAAGUUAGCGGCGGACGGGUGAGUAACACGUGGGUAACCUGCCCAUAAGACUGGGAUAACUCCGGGAAACCGGGGCUAAUACCGGAUAACAUUUUGAACCGCAUGGUUCGAAAUUGAAAGGCGGCUUCGGCUGUCACUUAUGGAUGGACCCGCGUCGCAUUAGCUAGUUGGUGAGGUAACGGCUCACCAAGGCCACGAUGCGUAGCCGACCUGGGAGGGUGAUCGGCGACACUGGGACUGAGACACGGCCCAGACUCCCACGCGAGGAAGCAGUAGGGAACCUUCCGCAAUGGACGAAAGUCUGACGGUGCAACGCCUCGUGAGUGAUGAAGGCUUUCGGGUCGUCAAACUCUGUCGUUAGGGAAGAACAAGUGCUAGUUGAAUAAGCUGGCACCUUUACGGUACCUAGCGAGAAAGCCACGGCUAACUACGUGCCAGCAGCCGCGGUAA